CGCUGCCGCCCCGCAGCCAAGAGGACGCUCCUCACCGCCCAGCUCCUGGGCUGGGAAUGGAAAACGCUGGCAUUAAUCUCAUUGUUUGCUGCAGGCAGAGUACGAGCUGGCCCUAGAGCCUCACCUGGCCUCCUCAGACCUGCUUUCCAUCAAACGGUGCUCACCUGUUUGGAAACGUGGCAGGCAUUCUCAGCCCACCCACACCCCCACACCCCCAAGCUGGUUCUGCUACAAGUCUAAUCAAACCCUAAACCGGAAGGUUCUGGACCCACCCCCCAGCCCCAACUGCCGCGUGGGCGGGGCGGGGGAGGGGCGCGCUGGCAGAUUCAGGGUUGACCUUGGAAAUCUUCUGGCCCAAACUCACUUUCUGGCCCCAAAUCUCCUUCUGCACAAAGGGAAACUGAGGCCCAGAGAAGGACAGUCACUUGGCAUGCGGCUGGGGGGUGCCCCCAGAUCCAGAGAUAACUCCCAGGUCACAUGGAAUAAAGGUAGCCAAGGACCCCCUAAGUCUCUUGACAGAAACUCAGACCUCUCUAGGACCCCGUCUCCACGUAGCCACCUGAAAACUGGAAAUGGUGCCUGAAGUUCGCCUUGCUGCUGCUACUGCUGCUAAGUCGCUUCAGUUGUGUCCAACUCUGUGUGACCCCACAGACGGCAGCCCACCAGGCUCCCCCGUCCCUGGGAUUCUCCAGGCAAGAACACUGGAGUGGGUUGCCAUUUCCUUCUCCAAUGCAUGAAAGUGAAAAGUGAAAGUGAAGUCACUCAGUCGUGUCCGACUCUUAGCGACCCCAUGGACUGCAGCCCACCAGGCCCCUCUGUCCAUGGGAUUUUCCAAGGCAAGAGUACUGGAGUGGGAUGCCAUUGCCUUCUCUGAAGUUCGCCUUAGUCUGUCUUCUCUCUGAGAGCUCAUUUGUGUUUACAGAUUGAAUCACCAGCUCCAGGUACCUCUCCAUACUUCCCUGUUUGUGCCAGUGUUGCCUACUGUUAUCCCAGGGCCAUAGUUGCCACACUUUUUCUCUCUUCAUUAAAAACCCAAACUGAGUCUUGCUUUCCAGUCAGGCUCCAUCAACUCUUGUCCAAGUUCCAUUACGUCUUGUCUGCACUGUAGAGCCAAUGCCUAAGAGAUCUCCAACCUCUCCCUCCCUCCAUCCAUCCAGGGACUAUCACAAAAUUAACCUUCCUAUAGCAUGAUUUCCAAGUGUCACACUCUUUGGUGAAAAAAGAAUUCCAUGGGAAGGCAAUCUCAUGCUAAUAACACAUUUGUUUAAUGCAGCAGAGUUCAGAUAUUGAACUCUAUUGUGAAGCCUGCAUUAUUUUCCAUAAUUUAUGGGUGAGGAAACUGGUUCUGAGUAUUCAAUCAAGGCCCUCUGAGUCCAUGUUCAAUGACACAGUCACUUCUCACUAUGCCCCAAGCCCAAAAUAUGCCCAGGAAAACUUCCAAGACAGUGCAAGGCUGAUGUGCAAAUGAGUAGAGAAGGUAGGCCUCCCUUUGGACCAUGAAGGAUGGGGAAGAAUCACUAGGCAGAGAGGAGUGGGAAUUUUUUUUUUUUUUUUAAGAUUUAUUUAUUUUUAUUUGGGGGGCU
rnacentral:lncRNA from 1 species